rnacentral:rRNA from 1 species
AAAUUGAAGAGUUUGAUCAUGGCUCAGAUUGAACGCUGGCGGCAGGCCUAACACAUGCAAGUCGAACGGUAACAGAAAGCAGCUUGCUGCUUUGCUGACGAGUGGCGGACGGGUGAGUAAUGUCUGGGAAACUGCCCGAUGGAGGGGGAUAACUACUGGAAACGGUAGCUAAUACCGCAUAACGUCGCAAGACCAAAGAGGGGGACCUUAGGGCCUCUUGCCAUCGGAUGUGCCCAGAUGGGAUUAGCUAGUAGGUGGGGUAACGGCUCACCUAGGCGACGAUCCCUAGCUGGUC